rnacentral:rRNA from 1 species
UCUCUCUUUGUAAUUAAUAAAUAAAGAGUUGGGCCUGCUCAGUGAUGUAAAUUUAACAGCUGGCGGUAUUUUAACUGUACUAAGGUAGCAUAAUAAUUUGCCUUAUAAAUUGAGGCUAGAAUGAAAGGUUUGACGAAGGUUUAUCUGUCUCUAUUUUAUUUAUUAGAAUUUAAUUUUUUAGUGAAAAAGCUAUAAUAUUUUAAAGGGACGAGAAGACCCUAUUGAGCUUAAAUUUAAUUACAUAAUUUAAUUAUGUUUUGAUAAAUUUUAAUUGGGGUGAUUAAGGAAUAAAAAUAUUAUAUAGUAACUUCCUUAAUAGUUAAUACUGUUGGGUUAAUUAACCAAUAAUAUUGCUUAUAAUAAAGUUACCAUAGGGAUAACAGCGUAAUUUAUUUAGAGAGUUCUUAUUGAAAAAUAAGAUUGCGACCUCGAUGUUGGAUUAAAGUAACCUUAAGGUGCAGAAGCUUUAAUAGGUAAAUCUGUUCGAUUUUUAAAACUUUACGUG